rnacentral:tRNA from 1 species
GGAGAGGCCAAAGGGAGCAGACUGUAAAUCUGCCGUCAUCGACUUCGAAGGUUCGAAUCCUUCCCCCACCACCA